rnacentral:rRNA from 1 species
CGGCGUGCCUAAUACAUGCAAGUCGAACGGUCUUUCUAUGGAAGCUUGCUUCCACUGAGAAGAUAGUGGCGAACGGGUGAGUAACACGUGGGUAACCUGCCCAUAAGAGGGGGGAUAACAUCCGGAAACGGGUGCUAAUACCGCAUAGUUUUCUUGAUCGCAUGAUUGAGAAAGGAAGACGGCCUUUGUGCUGUCGCUUAUGGAUGGACCCGCGGCGUAUUAGUUAGUUGGUGAGGUAACGGCUCACCAAGACGAUGAUACGUAGCCGACCUGAGAGGGUGAUCGGCCACAUUGGGACUGAGACACGGCCCAAACUCCUACGGGAGGCAGCAGUAGGGAAUCUUCCGCAAUGGACGAAAGUCUGACGGAGCAACGCCGCGUGAGUGAAGAAAGGGUUUUCGGAUCGUAAAACUCUGUUGUCAGAGAAGAACAAGUUGGAGAGUAACUGCUCCAGCCUUGACGGUAUCUGACCAGAAAGCCACGGCUAACUACGUGCCAGCCGCAGC